CAGAGAUGUGCUGCCAAGCAGCUUGAGCUAAAAAAGGCCGCUCUUCUGACUACAGCCUGCAGACUGGUUUACAGUGUGAUCCUCUCAUCCCCUCAUCCUCUGAUCCACUCGUCAUGUUAAAAUCAACUACACCUCCUGAUCACUGAAGAACAAGAGAAACGGGGGAUCAUAAAAGGGGGAUCAUAAAAAAACAGACGGACUGCAGUCUAUAAUGGCAGAACUGCAAAGUGCUCCUAUAUGAAGGCCGCCUGUCUACCACCAAUGGGUGUCAAGUUUCCUACAGCCGCAGGACUUCAGCUGAGGCCUGAGGAGACCCUCACUGCGGGGAAUUCCAGUGCAGUUUCAUUGUACCCAGAAUACCUCUGGUCAGCCCCUUGGCCACCCAGUGCCCCACCAACAACUGAAAGAAUGGAAGAAGCACAGAACUUCGGCUGACCAACAGGAAGUAGCCGCAUGCCAAUGCUCGUGUAUUAUUGUUACUAUGCUGCUGUCAGCACAUCAUCAGAAAGGGGAUUUUUUUCCCUUUCCUAUUAUGGAAGAAUGAUGGAUUUUUAUAACUUCAGAUGUUUAUAACUAUAGAUGCCAUUCUAGAGGUGCAGAGUCUUGUUCUUGUUCCAACAGCAAAAAUACACCAUGUGAAGCUCCUAACUGGGUAAAAACAUCAUUCAUCUAAUGCACAGUUUCUGCUCUUUUUGUGCAGUAACACAAAAUAAACUUACUCUUUUUGAAGAUACAAAAAAAGCUAAAUUUAACCAAAAGUAUUCCAACCAAAACCACUUGAACACAUCAUGGUGUACUUAUGAGCUCCAGUGUCAUAAUCAGGAAACUCUAAAGGCUCAUUUAGGCUCAACAUCUUCUGUCCAUACAAAACAGAGCAGUACCACUAGAAACUGUGGGGACUGUGUAGCCAAUAAUUCCACUACAAAACGCCAAUCUCUCUCCUGUAAUGUAAGUAAAAAAAUUCUCCAUCCACAUGUCACGAAAUAUUUAACAGCUUUACAGACCACUGUCUGCACUGUCUCCAUAAUUACAACUUCCUCCACCAUCACUUUGUUUAUUGUUGUCAGACACUUUUGACUCUGGACUUCCCUCUAGUGAAGGUACUGCUUAACAUCCAUGCCAACGUAAAGAAUGCAUGGAAAUAUUUGACGGUUCCAUUGUUUGAAAUGAGCAUGUUCAUUUUCAUAUGUAAAGGGAGUAAAAUGAGCAGCAUUGCUUUUACUCAUAAGUAUGUAACAGCCAUGCACUAUGCAUCCCACUUUCAGUUGUCCAAAUCAUCCAAAUCCUACAGCCACACUGGCCCUCUGCGGAUUAGAUUGGUUAAACUGAGUUUGUUCAGUUUCUCUUUCUCACCUGUGUGCGAGUAAAUGAACCACAAGGCUCCAGUCAGCAAGGCUCCAAUGACGAAGGCUGCAAAGGCAAUGCCCACCACCGUAGGAGUGUCCAGCACAUACAUGAACGCUGCAAGAGAAGAAUCAACAGGGCAUGUGAGACAACAUAUAUAGUUCACAGCAAGAAUGAACUUCCCUACAAAAAACAUUAACAUUUAACAUUAAACUAUAAAAACUGUGUGCAAACUUACAUUCAG